GGAGGGAUGGCUCAGUGGUUAAGAGCACUGGCUCAGUGGUUAAGAGCACUGGCUUCUCUUCCACAGGUCCUGGGUUCAAUUCCCAGCACCUGCU
rnacentral:tRNA from 1 species